UGGGGAAUCUUGCGCAAUGGGCGAAAGCCUGACGCAGCAACGCCGCGUGAGUGAUGAAGGUCUUCGGAUCGUAAAGCUCUGUCGGCAGGAAAGACGGAUCGGUUGGCUAACAUCCAACCAGUCUGACGGUACCUGCAAAGGAAGCACCGGCUAACUCUGUGCCAGCAGCCGCGGUAAGACAGAGGGUGCAAGCGUUGUUCGGAAUCACUGGGCGUAAAGCGCACGUAGGCGGCUAGGUAAGUCAUAUGUGAAAUCCCAGGGCUCAACCCUGGAACUGCAUCUGAUACUGCCUAGCUUGAGUUCCGGAGAGGUUGGUGGAAUUCCUGGUGUAGAGGUGAAAUUCGUAGAUAUCAGGAGGAACACCGGUGGCGAAGGCGACCAACUGGACGGAAACUGACGCUGAGGUGCGAAAGCGUGGGGAGCAAACAGG
rnacentral:rRNA from 1 species